rnacentral:misc_RNA from 1 species
ACCGUGAGGCUUAUGGCCAAAGCGAACAAUUACUCUGGUGGUUGGAGCCCGAUCAUUACAAAUAUAAUGAGCUUCACCCCAAAUAUGGAUCACCUUCAAGAUUGCAUUAGGCACGUGUCUACUUACAAAAACAAGCAAUUCUAUUUCCGGAGAAAUGAAAUCCAAAAUGCAUAUACUCCAGAAAUAAAUCAAAAUUCAGUCCUCUCAAGGUAAGCAGACUAUGACUCCAUAUCCACAUAAAAUGCCAACCACACAAAGUUAAGUGCUUCUUUAAUAAACAUUUCAUCUUCCAGCUAAAAAGCCUGUUAAGAUACAAUUGACAGACACCAACAAUUCUAAAUCAAUAAACUUAAUGACGCAAAAUAAACAAACGAGGUAGCAAUCAAAUAAACUUGGAAAUUUUGAACAAGGCUACAGAACAGAGCCAGUAAUAGAAAAGUCUAAGGUUCACUUCUGUCCUUUAUAUGCCAUAUUUAUCCCACUAAUAUCAGCAAACUGAUAUUACCAGAAUAUCCUCUCUAAUACCAAAAAUCAGAAAAUUUUAAACUAAAAUAAUGAUCCCAAACAGGCUUUUAAAUAAAUUUUUAUUUUCAGAAAUCAAUUCUGUGUAGAGUGCGCUACUUCUCCCUUACCUACAUAUGCACCAAAUUUAGGGGAAAAAAAAGGGUUAAAUCCUUCAUUUUUUUGUCAAGAAUUAAAAGCACAUAAAAGAACAAAAAGCACGACAGAAUAUUUGUGUCAUGCAAUUGUAAUUCUCCCCAAGAUAUGAAAUUAAGUUUAGCUAAACCACAUCAAUUCAAAAGUUCUUUUAUUUCUUUCUUACUUCUUCAAUGUUCCAAAAAAAUGAAAGCCUAAUGCUCUUUUUGCUUCACUCAAUAUAAUUUGCAUGAAGAAUAUAUAUGAGGAGUAAAUAUGCAAACAAUAUCUCAAUCUUCAAUGAUAAAUCUUCAGUAGCUAAGAUACUGUUAACUUCAACUAUCAUUUAUUUCUUUAAAAAGUAUGUUCUAAUAUUUUCUAUUCACAUACAAAGAGAUACUAAAAAAAUGUUUCUUAAAGAUAAAGCCUCUCUUUUUUACUAGAUUAUAAUAACUGAAUAAAAGAGAAACUAAAAUGUAAAUCAAGUUACAUGAAAACAGACUACCAUGCAAAGUUGCAAACUUCCAAAGUAUAAUUUGAAAGUAUGAUCUUUUAAAAGCAAAUUCAAGUGGUGUACUUUUUUUUCACAAUAACCAUUAAAACUAAGGAAAUGGAGAGUGAUUGGUAUAAGAAAAACCCCAAGAGAGAGAGAGAGAG